GUUCUGCGUAGUUGUAAUGGAUCCCACGGCACUUCUAGGCAAGUCCCGCCCUACGAAGCAGCCUGAUUGGUUGGUGUUAGGCAUUGAACCUG